rnacentral:rRNA from 1 species
UCAGCAGCCGCGGUAAUACAUAGGGUGCAAGCGUUGUCCGGAAUUAUUGGGCGUAAAGAGCUCGUAGGUGGUUCGUCACGUCGGAUGUGAAACUCUGGGGCUUAACCCCAGACCUGCAUUCGAUACGGGCGAGCUUGAGUAUGGUAGGGGAGUCUGGAAUUCCUGGUGUAGCGGUGGAAUGCGCAGAUAUCAGGAGGAACACCAAUGGCGAAGGCAGGACUCUGGGCCAUUACUGACACUGAGGAGCGAAAGCGUGGGGAGCGAACAGGAUUAGAUACCCUGGUAGUCCACGCCGUAAACGGUGGGCACUAGUUGUGGGGACCUUCCACGGUCUCUGCGACGCAGCUAACGCAUUAAGUGCCCCGCCUGGGGAGUACGAUCGCAAGAUUAAAACUCAAAGGAAUUGACGG